AACGAACGCUGGCGGCAUGCCUAUCACAUGCAAGUCGAACGAGAUCUUCGGGUCUAGUGGCGCACGGGUGCGUAACGCGUGGGAAUCUGCCCUUUGGUUCGGAAUAACAGUUGGAAACGACUGCUAAUACCGGAUGAUGACGAAAGUCCAAAGAUUUAUCGCCAGAGGAUGAGCCCGCGUAGGAUUAGCUAGUUGGUGUGGUAAAGGCGCACCAAGGCGACGAUCCUUAGCUGGUCUGAGAGGAUGAUCAGCCACACUGGGACUGAGACACGGCCCAGACUCCUACGGGAGGCAGCAGUGGGGAAUAUUGGACAAUGGGCGAAAGCCUGAUCCAGCAAUGCCGCGUGAGUGAUGAAGGCCUUAGGGUUGUAAAGCUCUUUUACCCGGGAUGAUAAUGACAGUACCGGGAGAAUAAGCUCCGGCUAACUCCGUGCCAGCAGCCGCAGUAA
rnacentral:rRNA from 1 species